rnacentral:rRNA from 1 species
UAGCGGGGGGCAAGCGUUGUUCGGAAUUACUGGGCGUAAAGGGCUCGUAGGCGGCCAACUAAGUCAGACGUGAAAUCCCUCGGCUUAACCCUGGACCUGCGUUCGAUACGGGCAGACUAGAGUUCGGUAGGGGAGACUGGAAUCCUGGUGUAGCGGUGAAAUGACGCAGAUAUCAGGAGGAACACCGGUGGCGAAGGCGGGUCUCCUGGGCAGUAACUGACGCUGAGGAGCGAAAGCGUGGGGAGCGAACAGG